CCUACGGGUGGCUGCAGUGGGGAAUAUUGGACAAUGGGCGCAAGCCUGAUCCAGCAAUGCCGCGUGAGUGAUGAAGGCCUUAGGGUUGUAAAGCUCUUUCACCGGGGAAGAUAAUGACGGUACCCGGAGAAGAAGCCCCGGCUAACUCCGUGCCAGCAGCCGCGGUAAUACGGAGGGGGCUAGCGUUGUUCGGAAUUACUGGGCGUAAAGCGCGCGUAGGCGGCUUGACAAGUUGGAGGUGAAAGCCCGGAGCUCAACUUCGGAAUUGCCUUCAA
rnacentral:rRNA from 1 species